rnacentral:rRNA from 1 species
UACGGAGGGUGCGAGCGUUGUCCGGAUUUAUUGGGCGUAAAGAGCGUGUAGGCGGCCAGGUAGGUCGGUUGUGAAAACUGGAGGCUCAACCUUCAGACGUCGACCGAAACCCCCUGGCUAGAGUCCGGAAGAGGAGAAUGGAAUUCCUGGUGUAGCGGUGAAAUGCGCAGAUAUCAGGAAGAACACCCGUGGCGAAAGCGGUUCUCUGGGACGGUACUGACGCUGAGACGCGAAAGCGUGGGGAGCGAACAGG